AACCCAUAGUGAGGGCACCGUCUCAAGAAAUCCUUAUACCUCUCCCAUGCAUCAUAUAGGGUCUCUAAUUUGAUCUAUACGAAAGAAGAGAUAUCAUUCCUCAACUU
rfam:Gossypium hirsutum cultivar TM-1 chromosome 14, whole genome shotgun sequence